rnacentral:rRNA from 1 species
AGGAUGAACGCUGGCGGUCUGCUUAACACAUGCAAGUCGAACGGGCGUAGCAAUACGUUAGUGGCGGACGGGUGAGUAACGCGUGAGAAUCUACCUUCAGGACGGAGACAACAGUUGGAAACGACUGCUAACCCCCGAUGUACCGAAAGGGCAAAUAUUUAUAGCCUGAAGAAGAGCUCGCGUCCGAUUAGCUAGUUGGAGAGGUAAAAGCUCACCAAGGCGACGAUCGGUAGCUGGUCUGAGAGGACGAUCAGCCACACUGGGACUGAGACACGGCCCAGACUCCUACGGGAGGCAGCAGUGGGAAUUUUCCGCAAUGGGCGAAAGCCUGACGGAGCAAGACCGCGUGGGGGAAGAAGGGCUCUUGGGUUGUAAACCCCCUUUUUCUCUGGGAAGAACGCAAUGACGGUACCAGAGGAAUCAGCAUCGGCUAACUCCGUGCCAGCAGCCGC